rnacentral:rRNA from 1 species
AUGGCGACCGGCGUACGGGUGAGUAACGCGUAUCCAACCUGCCCUUUUACUAUGGGACAGCCCGUCGAAAGGCGGAUUAAUACCGUAUGUUGUCAUGUUGAUGCAUAUUUUCAUGACCAAAGGCUUCGGCCGGUAAAGGAUGGGGAUGCGUCUGAUUAGCUUGCCGGCGGGGUAACGGCCCACCGGGGCGACGAUCAGUAGGGGUUCUGAGAGGAAGGUCCCCCACAUUGGAACUGAGACACGGUCCAAACUCCUACGGAAGGCAGCAG